GGCCUCGUGGCCCAAUGGCAAGGCGUCUGACUACGAUUGAAAAGCGCAAUCAGGAGAUUCUGGGUUCGACCCCCAGCGAGGUCA